UACGAAGGGUGCAAACGUUGCUCGGAAUUAUUGGGCGUAAAGCGCACGUAGGCGGCAUCGCAAGUCCCAUGUGAAAGCCCACGGCUUAACCGUGGAAGUGCAUGGGAAACUGCAGUGCUUGAGUACUUAAGAGGAUCGCGGAAUUCCCGGUGUAGAGGUGAAAUUCGUAGAUAUCGGGAGGAACACCAGUGGCGAAGGCGGCGCUCUGGGCCGGAACUGACGCUGAGGAGCGAAAGCAUGGGGAGCGAACAGG
rnacentral:rRNA from 1 species